UACCAACAGUUUUAGGCGGGGUUGCUCUCCUACGCUAAAAAUCCAGUUCCACGACGUAUACGAGUAGAUAGGUACUCUCGCGUAAAAGAAAGAGAGGUUGAUAAUACGCUGCAGGAAAGAACCUCCAUUCUAUAUUUGAUCAUUAUAGAAGUUAUAGCUACCGCCGGUACAUUAUACCUCGAACAGAAUGCGGCUGGUGUAAUUUUUUUUUUACGAGUUUGGAUUGUUUUUUUUUCGCUAGUCGUGAGAUCGUUACGUAGUUCUUUUUCUAUUUUCGUGAGUGGCUGUAAUUUCAAAAUACCUUCGAUAUGCGACCGUUUAUGUUAUUUUUACAAGUAAUUUUACUUUAUAUUUCGUACACUUACGCUCAACAAUUUACGUUCGGCAAUAAUGCUCCAGUUCCUCCGAGAUUCCUGGUACCAGGAGGAGGAUUUCCAAACAAUCAACCUCAACCUCAAGCUAAAAGAUUGAACCCUGACAAUGAUAAUUCAGUACAGAGAUUACGUACCAGACCGAUACCAAGAGCACGUGCUGGUCCUCCACCUCCAGCUUCGUUAGUACCACUAAAUCCUGAACUGUUCUCAUCGCCUUCAUCUCCAAGAUCCUUCCAACCAGUCGAGACUUCUUCCAUACAACCACGUCCGGUCGUCGAAGAAGAAGAAGAAGAUAACACCGAAGACGAUAUCGUGCCUCAAAUUUCCACCAUUACUGCUCCUCAAAAUACACCUACGGCUAAACCUUUCCGGCCAUCGAUUCAGUUCAGACCGACUAAACCACAGUUCUUUGCUAAUACCAAUAUCAUCGACGAAGACGAGAAUGAUUUCCAAACCACGAAAGCUCAGCCAUCGCAAGUUCCUACAACGAUCCAAGAACCCCAAUUCCAACGAAAACAAGCUCCACGAGUACAGAGUUUCAGACCACCACCUCCUCCUCCACCACAACCGGAGCACGUUGAAAAUAAAAUCUCUAGACAGUUCGAGAAACCUAUCAGAACGAAAUUUGAGAAAUCAGAAGUACCGGAGAAACGUGUCAAGAAGCCAGUAGCUCAGGUUUUACGAAGAUACAGAGAAGAUAACGCCGACGGUAGCAUCACAUGGGGAUUUGAAAACGACGACGGUUCAUAUAAAGAAGAAACUAUUGGAAAUGAUUGUGUGACGAGGGGUAAAUACGGAUACAUAGACCCCGAUGGUGUACGAAGAGAAUACUCUUAUUCUUCAGGUUUACCUUGUGAUAAAAAUAAAUUAGAACCAGCCGAAGAAGGAAAUAGUCCAGCUGGUUAUAUCGAUUAUUCCAGUAAUAAAGUCGUACUUCCUAAUGGCGACUCGGUAGAUUUAAACAACAUGGUUAAAAACAGAGCGAGAAAACCUGUAGGACAAAGGUUCAAGAGUCAGUAGAAAAAAAUUCCAAUUUAAUGUAUUAUUUAUUUAUCAAAACUGAUCGAUUCUAUUUUUUUUCAUACUGGAACAUUCAACAGAAAUGCCAUAGUUUUUAAUGUGUAAAAAUCUCGAUGAUUUUUGUCUGCAUUUUUAUUUUACUCCAUGAUACCUUGAUUAUUAUUGCUUAAGCUGUUUGCAAUAUUGCUGAUGAUCGAUUUUUAUUAUUUCUUUUUCAUGUUGUGUUAUAAUGUACUUUUUUUGUGAUCGACAAAUAUUUAAAUAUUCGUUGUACAUAUUCUCAUAAUUAUUUAUACGUCGUAAGAUUAUUUUUUAUUUUCAGCAUUUCGAUUUACUUGUAGGUAGAUUUAUUAAUUUAAUUUUUAUGUAGUGAGAUUCGAUACAAAAAUACCUACCUACUUAGUCCCUUCUCCACUUUUCCCUGUUGUAAUUCUGUUAAUUAGCCUAAAAGUUUCGAUGAAAAAAUACUUUUUACUUUUGUUUCGAGCAAAUUUUAAUUUUUAAUUAAUUAAUAUUUGGUUUAUUAAUUAUUUAUUCCUUUCUCUCGUGAUUUCUCGCUUUCGAUUUCUGUUUUUUAUUUAACAAGAAAAGGAUGAAUGAUGUCGAAAAUGUCGAUGUAUUGUGCAGCAUCGAUUUUGAAAGUCGAUGUAUUGUGUUGUGCUAGAGUGGAAACUGAUAAUGAAACUUUAGUUUAUUAGUUUCUUUUCAUUACGAUGUGUUCAUAUUUCUGAUGUUUUACAAGUUAAAAUUUAUUGUGUCUUCCGAGCAUUACGUUAAUUAAUAAAAUGAUUCGAUCGACGUUCAAAAAUGGAAAAAUCUACUCUGCGUAUUUCUCAUUUCGUGUGUUGAUUUCACUGGUCUUGUAAUAGAUAAGAUUUCUAUCCGUCAUCGCUCCUGCAAAAAUGGCUUCGUUCAAUAACUUGCCAGACGAAAUCAUCUUACGAAUCUUUAAUUACUUCUCUCAAAAAGAACUUCAAAGUACAUUAAAAUACGUCGACUAUCGAUGGAACCGCUUAGCCGAAGAUAGCUCCCUGUAUCGUGAAAUCAUCGCCGAUGAAAAACUACACGCCAAAGAAGUCGCGUUUCUAUUACAAAAGCACGCUGAAGAAAUCAAAUGUGUGCAAUUCAUCGAACGAGACGACUUGAACGAGUUGGCCGAAUACCUAUCUCACUGUUGCAAUUUACAAUCGUUGAUGAUAAAAUUAAGCUUCGGAGCGGGCGAUAAAAUCGUAGACGCUAUUAAAAAUUGCCCCAAGUUGAAUUCGAUAGUUAUUCAACAUUCCUCUUGUGUUCGAAAUCUGCCCGGUUUGUUUCAAGUGAUCGGAGAUCUGCCGAUGAAAAAAAUCAAUAUUCGCAAUACGGUGGACGAUAUAACGACUGAAAAUUUAUGCCAUUUGAAAAACGUCCAAGAUUUAAGGCUGAAAAGCAUCAAAGUCGAUACGAUGGGUAUUUAUAAAUUUUGCCAAAACAAUUGCGCCAAUUUGACGACAUUGAAGUUGAUAACGUAUCACGAGAAUAUCGAGAAUUUCACGUUAGACGUGAACGAGACGAUUUUCGCUGCGAUUGGAUCGUGUAGAAAUCUCAAUACGUUAUGUUUAGGUCACCAGGUUAUGAUCAAGAUGAACGACGAAGGUCUUCAGAAACUUCACAAUUUGAAUAAUUUAUCCACUUUGGUGAUUCAUUACGCCGAGAGAGUAAGCGCCGACGGAUUCGUGAAUUUUUUCAGGCAGCCUUUGGCUAAAAACUUGAAGAAAAUCGGAUUAUAUAAAUGCGCCUGUGUGAACAGCGCUGUUAUUCGGAGCAUAGCCAAUAUGUGCUUCAAGUUGGAAAAAUUCACGUACGAGCAAUCCAAAGAAACCAGAGAAAGGAAAAGUAACAUCGAUCCUUUCGAUAUAAUCACACUUUCUCGAAAUUGCAAUAAAUUAAGAUGGUUUCAUCUAUUUGGAAUGGAUAUAAAAAUAGCCGAAGUAUUACACUUGGUUCCUACGUAUUUACCCAAUUUGGAAUCGUUGAAGUAUUGCAACGACGACGACCCUAUGCGGAUUCCUUCUUUUAUGCACGGUUUAGAACGUAAAAUGCCCGAUUUCAAUGUUAGCGGGUUGCAGUGGAAGUUUAGUUUAUACGUUCACUGUAGAAAAAAAGAUAAACUUGAGCAAAACACGUUGCCAGAUCCUCAUGUAAGGUUUCAGUUAAAGUAAAGCUGAAAUCUCUGUGAGGGUUUUCUCGUUAAUUUCGUUAGCUUCGUCGCGACUUUCUAGUCAUUUUGGUAGGCAGUGAUUAAUUGUAUUAUUCGUUAUAGUUUCUGUUUUCUGUUUCUGGUUCACGUAUUACCAAAUAUAUUAAUAUUUUUCACGUUA